GGGUUCAGAUGCCCUUUGUGGAACUAUUAACUUGAAAUCACUAGGAAGUCUGGCAAAUUCAUUUAUGAAGAAGCUCAAUUUUCUACUUGGAGGAGAAAUCCUUGGCAGGAUGCCUUCCAAUUUCAGUUCAGUCACAGUGAAUUUUCAGGCUGACUGGCGACAUUGCUGUAUUGUACUAUACCAGUCGGCUUCCGGGGAAGUCUGAGAAUCUUUAACAUAUGUGAAAGGGAACCAGCCGUGAAUAUGAGAAAGAAGGCUGCUCAACCCUGAAGCAACAUUCUACCACUUUCAUGAAGCAGCAGUGGAGAAAAUGAGCACAAUUGUGGCAGCAAUGAAAAGAAAAGCAGGACUGGAAGUAACAAUAAGCAGAUCCUUUCCCUUACCUUACCAACCACAGGAGCUUUAGUCCUGGUGGCUACAUCCUGCAACAGAGCACAGUACCAAGUGCUGUGAGGAACUAUCAGAAUACUUCACUGAAAAAAUUACACAUAUUCAGGAAGGCUUCUUUAACAGCAUGGAUCUGUUCCCCAUAUCCAGUCAACAAGCAGCCAACCUGCAUGCCCAGAAUUCAGUACAUUCAUUCCUCUAGAAGUACUGAACACCCUAAAGAAGUCUCACUUAUGUCUUUUCUGGCUGGUGAAGGAGAGUCACGGGCAGCUAGUGCCACUCAAGAUUGAAAUAGCCAGUGCCUCAUUCAGGAAAAGAAUCUUCCCUUCCUUCUUCAAAUACAAGAUAGUGCAACCAGCACUGAAGAAAUGCUCCCUAGAUACACUGGUUCUAGCUACUCCCUACCACCCAGUAUCAAACCUUCCACUCCUGAGCAAACUCAUACAGAAGCUAGCCAAAGGCCAACUACAAGAUCAUCUAACUGAAGGUACAAUCUGGAUUUGGGCCAGGACAUGAAAUAGAAACAGCUUUAAUGGCACUGAUGGAUGAUCUCCAGCUGUCAAUGGAUGGUCACACUUCCAUUCUUAGCUGCCUAGACCUCUCUGCAACAUUCAACACAGUUGAUCAUGCUGUCCCAAAUGAGGUGGAAGAAUGCACUAAAAAGCUAAAGUGUUUCCUGGAGAGAGACCCAAACUGUAGCGAAGGGGAAACUGCUCCUCUGCCACUAAAACCCUCACUUAUGGAGUCCUAUAAGAUAAUAGACUUUCCAGUUAUGUGAUUUUUAUUUAUAGAAAAUCUAUCAUUGAUGCAAGGCUGAAUCUAAUCUGCCCUGGUCUUGGACAGCUUUAAAUUUGGGAGUGGGGAGGAAAAAUAUUUGUCUGUUUUGUUUUGUUUUUUAAAGGGGAGAGUGGAAGGAUCUGUUUGAAUUUGCUUAGAGGUUUGGAAUGUAGGAGUAAGUUCUGGGUUGAGGGAGGAAGAGGUGAGAUUUGUUUGUUACAUUAUUGUGCAAUUUAUCACUUGUAUAUCAUGGUCAAAUGUAAGGUGUAUAUAUGAAUGGGACAAAUCACAUGAGCUGGGGGCAAGUAAGAUGCUGUGUUUGUAAUCAUAAUUUUAAAAUAUAUUUGCCUGGUAGGUAAGCUCAUUUGUAAUUUAUGAAUUGAUGUUUGUCCUCCCCGCCCUCAUUAGAAUAAUUAAUUAUUGAAUAUAUGUGUUUUGCAUAUGUAAUCAGAAGAGUACACAAGAGGCACUUAACAAGA